AGAGUUUGAUCUUGGCUCAGAACGAACGCUGGCGGCAUGCCUAACACAUGCAAGUCGAACGAGACCUUCGGGUCUAGUGGCGCACGGGUGCGUAACGCGUGGGAACCUGCCCUUAGGUUCGGAAUAACUUCCCGAAAGGGAUGCUAAUACCGGAUAAUGUCCUCGGACCAAAGAUUUAUCGCCUUUGGAUGGGCCCGCGUAGGAUUAGCUUGUUGGUGGGGUAAUGGCCUACCAAGGCGACGAUCCUUAGCUGGUCUGAGAGGAUGAUCAGCCACACUGGGACUGAGACACGGCCCAGACUCCUACGGGAGGCAGCAGUGGGGAAUAUUGGACAAUGGGCGAAAGCCUGAUCCAGCAAUGCCGCGUGAGUGAUGAAGGCCUUAGGGUUGUAAAGCUCUUUUACCAGGGAUGAUAAUGACAGUACCUGGAGAAUAAGCUCCGGCUAACUCCGUGCCAGCAGCCGCGGUAAUACGGAGGGAGCUAGCGUUGUUCGGAAUUACUGGGCGUAAAGCGCACGUAGGCGGCGAUUCAAGUCAGAGGUGAAAGCCCGGGGCUCAACCCCGGAACUGCCUUUGAAACUAGAUUGCUAGAAUCCUGCAGAGGUAGUGGAAUUCCGAGUGUAGAGGUGAAAUUCGUAGAUAUUCGGAGACACCAGUGGCCGAAGCGACUAACUGGACAGGUAUUGACGCUGA
rnacentral:rRNA from 1 species